rnacentral:pre_miRNA from 1 species
CGUGCAGUGGUGGGGUCCCUUGGCCUGGCCUGCACCCUCUCGCAAUCUGGGACCGCUUGGAGGGUGUCGGAGAGCCGGUUUUGGCCUGAUCCCGCAGGCCAGGCCAAGGGACCCCACUGGUGCAUG